AAAUACAAAAAUUAGCCGGGCAUGGUGGCGUGGGCCUGUAAUCCUAGCUACUCCGAAGGCUGAGGCAGGAGAAUUGCUUGAAUCCAGGAGGCGAAGCUUGCAGUGAGCCAAGAUCACGCCACUGCACUCCAGCCUGGGCGACAAAGCAAGACUUCUUCUCAAACAAAACAAAAAACAAAACAAACAAACAAACAAAAAAUGACUGUGUUAACGACUGGCUUGCAAAAUUUCUGAAAAUUCACAAUUGGCUCCGGAGGAUGGGGUUGAUCCAACUCCAGGCUGACACUGCCCCUGGGGUGAGGGCCCCCAGGAAUUGGAGGGCGGGGGCUGAGGGGACGGUCCCUUAAGGCCUUAUGCCCACAGUCGCCUUUUCCUCCCCCAGAUCCUCUCCUUCAUCCUGCACACAAUCGUGCGAGGAUUCAUCCACUCCGCUGUCGGGGGCCUGUACGCUGCCGUGUACCCCUCCACCCAGUUCGGCAGCCUCACGGGACUGCAGUCUCUGAUCAGCGCGCUCUUCGCCCUUCUGCAGCAGCCGCUGUUUCUGGCCAUGAUGGGUCCUCUCCAGGGAGACCCU
rnacentral:lncRNA from 10 species